ensembl:miRNA
AGCCACUGGCGGUUGUAAGCCACUAUGUGGAUACUGGGAAUCAUACCUGGGUCCUCUGUAAGAGGAAAAGUGCUUUUAACUGCUGAGCC